rnacentral:rRNA from 1 species
AUUGAACGCUGGCGGCAGGCUUAACACAUGCAAGUCGAGCGCGAAAGCCUUCGGGUGAGUAGAGCGGCGAACGGGUGCGUAACGCGUAGGAAUAUACCUGGUAGUGGGGGAUAACUUGGGGAAACUCAAGCUAAUACCGCAUACGAACUAAGGGCGAAAGCGGGGGAUCGCAAGACCUCGCGCUAUCAGAUGAUCCUGGGUAAGAUUAGCUAGUUGGUAGGGUAAGGGCCUACCAAGGCGACGAUCUUUAGCGGUUCUGAGAGGAUGAUCAGCCACACUGGGACUGAGACGCGGCCCAGACUCCUACGGGAGGCAGCAGUGGGAAAUAUUGGACAAUGGGGGCAACCCUGAUCCAGCAAUGCCGCGUGUGUGAAGAAGGCCUUCGGGUUGUAAAGCACUUUCAGUGGGGAGGAAAGGUUGUACAUUAAUACUGUGCAGCUGUGACGUUACCCACAGAAGAAGCACCGGCUAACUCCGUGCCAGCCGCCGCGGUAAUAC